rnacentral:rRNA from 1 species
UACGGAGGGAGCUAGCGUUGUUCGGAAAUACUGGGCGUAAAGCGCACGUAGGCGGCGCAGCAAGUCAGGGGUGAAAUCCCGGGGCUCAACCCCGGAACUACCCUUGAAACUGCAGUGCUAGAAUUCUGGAGAGGCGAGUGGAAUUCCGAGUGUAGAGGUGAAAUUCGUAGAUAUUCGGAAGAACACCAGUGGCGAAGGCGACUCGCUGGACAGACAUUGACGCUGAGGUGCGAAAGCGUGGGGAGCAAACAGG